UCCUCAGUAGCUCAAUGGUAGAUUGGUUGGUUGUUAAUCGAUUGGUCAUUGGUUCGAAUCCUACUUGGGGAG
rfam:Solanum lycopersicum cultivar Heinz 1706 chromosome 11, whole genome shotgun sequence.